UACAGAGGGGGCAAGCGUUGUUCGGAAUUACUGGGCGUAAAGGGCGCGUAGGCGGCCUGUUAAGUCGAAUGUGAAAUCCCUGGGCUCAACCCAGGAACUGCGUCCGAUACUGGCAGGCUUGAAUCCGGGAGAGGGAUGUGGAAUUCCAGGUGUAGCGGUGAAAUGCGUAGAUAUCUGGAGGAACACCGGUGGCGAAGGCGGCAUCCUGGACCGGUAUUGACGCUGAGGCGCGAAAGCCAGGGGAGCAAACGGG
rnacentral:rRNA from 1 species